rnacentral:rRNA from 1 species
AUUGAACGCUGGCGGCAUGCCUAACACAUGCAAGUCGAGCGGAUGCAGGGGGUUUGCUCCUGGAUUCAGCGGCGGACGGGUGAGUAAUGCCUAGGAAUCUGCCUGGUAGUGGGGGAUAACGUCCGGAAACGGGCGCUAAUACCCCAUACGUCCUGAGUUCGAAAGUGGGGGAUCUUCCGACCUCACGCUAUCAUAUGAGCCUAGGUCGGAUUAGCUAGUUGGUAGGGUAAAGGCCUACCAAGGCGACGAUCCAUAACUGGUCAGAGAGGAUGAUCAGCCAGUCUGGCACUGAGACACGGUCCAGACUCCUACGGGAGGCAGCAGUGGGGAAUCUAGCACAGUGGGCGGAAGGCAGAUGGAGCAAGGACGCGUGAGCGAUGAAGGUCUUGGGGUUGUAAAGUUAGUUUAUACGUGAAGAUUAUGACGGUACCAAAAGAAUAAGCACCGGCUAACUACGUG